AAACUUUUGCAAAGCCCCCCGCUGUCUCUUCUUCUGUUCUUCUUCAUUUUUUUUCUUUUUACGUUUUGCUGCACCCGAAAGCAUCUUCAAAGUCAGCCUACUACUCAAAACACACCUGCCUGCUAUCUUUGUUGCCCCGCUCUGACGUCUGAACGCCGCUGACGUCUCCUCGGACUUAACUGGCUGGCGCCUCUAUAUAAAUACAGUCUAUGGUUUAAAUAAACAUCGUCACUAUUUUUAUUUAAUUAAUAAAUAAUGAAAUAAAUUGUAUAUAGGACAUUUUAUUUUAAUUAUAAUUUAUAUAUAUAUAUGUAUAUUGUCCCUCUGUCUGGGCCCCAUCCCGCCAAUCGGGCCCUAGGCACAUGCCUAGUUUGCCUCUGCGCUUCUAUUAGUAAGUUUUUUUCACUUCUUUCUAACUUUAUUUUGAUUUCAUCGCAGUCCCUUUUAACCUCCAACGGCAGACUUAAAGUCACCUUUACAGUGUUUCAUUUUCUUAGCUUAAGACUCGAGUCGAUCAGAGGGCUGGUUUGGGAUCAGGUUCUCCUUGCUCUAAGGUUGAACAUCAGACUGAACAGGAAGUCUCUGUAAAUCCCAGCCGCUUUCUCUUUCUUCGUCAAAGACAGCAGAUUUGUUCAUCAGGAUCUGAAACACGCCAAUUGAGACACAUCCUGUGAUUGUUUUGUCACUUCCUGUGGGCAGGAUGCUAUAACAUUUAACACACGUUUCCUUUAAAUGUAGGAUUUCGCCUAGAAAGAAGCUGAGACCACUGGCGCGAUGCCCAAAGGCCAAUUUAGACCAAUCAGAAUCGAGAAUCUGAUUUCUACAUGAAUCGGCUUCAUCUGUGUCUAACAUAUAAAGACGACUACUCGAGGGUUAACGACGUUAAAGGGAGGCUAGUAAACGUGUAGCGGGUCCGACUCCAGACUCCGGUUCUGGUACCUCACAGAUUUGCCAACGCUAUAAAGUCAUGUGGUGCGACCAGGUCCCGAUUUGCACUGCAGCGCUUUAAUAAAGAACGUUAGCCAAGUGGCUUCCUUAGUAGUAUCUUGUUUUAAAAAAGAAAGUCAAUGGAAACAGAAAUAAAAGUAUAUUUUGCAUCAGAAGGUUCAUGAUGUUCACUUGUUUUGCUCGUUGUAACGAUGAUGUUUUAUCUAAAUGUUGUUGUUUUUUUGUCAAAAUCCACAAAUACACACAAACCGCAAAGUAAAGCGUCUGUUACUAAAAAUAUUGUCUUUAGUUAUUAUUAUCAUCAGGACAGUUGAAGACCCAUUCAUAAAGAAAUCUAUAUCAGAGGUUUCACACCCACACACACACACACACACACACACACACACACACACACACACACACACUUUUCUAUCACAGUUGUACUUCACUGUGGCACAUUCGGCCCGUACACGCGCUCGGCAGCUUAUAUCGUUUUGGCUUCAG